GGGGAUGUGGCUUAGUGAUAAGAGUGCUUGCCUAGCAUGCAUGAAACCAUUGGUUCGAUUCCUCAGUACCA
rfam:Dipodomys ordii contig_56875, whole genome shotgun sequence.